AUAUUCUGCACACUCUGCGAUAGUUUCCACUAAUUGCGACAUUAGAUAAGAUAAGAUAAGGUAUGUAAGAUCUAUCGAAACGCAAGAAACUUACUUAGCGUAUCGCUAUGUCGCAUUAGACGGGUGAGUAAGUUAGAGAGUAUGUGUAGAUGAAAUGAAAGAAGCGCCUUGCACAAAAAAACUAUCUUUAGUUUACUAAUUAGUUAGAGAUUUUAAUCGAAGUUUUGAAUUCGUGCGAGAUAUCUUCGACAUUUGAUUAGAUCGUUUUGCAAAACCAUUCGUACGAUAUGCCCGGUAACAUGGCCAUCAGCUCGUUUCUCCGAAAUGUCAUUUUUUUUAUUAUUGAAUUUUCCUGAUGUAAUGCAAGAAAAAGCCAAUUUUCGCUCACAUGCUGCUGUGCAAAAUAAUGAAGGAACAAAACAGCAACCUUUAAUAUGUUUUCGGACUUAUCGCUUGUUGCAGCACUUGAAGAUUGUUUUGAAAAAAGGUGUUCUCAUCUAGCCUGUCUGUUAAUUGUAAAUAGAAAACUCUAAAAAGAAGACACUGCGAACUUUGCUUCGAGCAUAUGCGGGGAACUAUAUAAGAGAAUAUACCAAAAAUCUUUUUAAGGAUGUUUUGAGAAUUUAACUGAAAGGAGCACAUUUA